rnacentral:rRNA from 1 species
UACGGAGGGCGCGAGCGUUGUCCGGAAUCACUGGGCGUAAAGGGCGCGUAGGUGGCGCGGGCAGUCAACGGUGAAAGCUCGGGGCUCAACCCCGAGUCGGCCGUCGAUACUCCCGUGCUUGAGCACUGUAGAGGCAGAUGGAAUUCCGGGUGUAGCGGUGGAAUGCGUAGAGAUCCGGAAGAACACCGGUGGCGAAGGCGGUCUGCUGGGCAGUUGCUGACACUGAGGCGCGACAG